rnacentral:rRNA from 1 species
AAAAGGCUUAGUGGCGGACGGGUGAGUAACGCGUGGGUAACCUGGCCCAUACAGGGGGAUAACACUUAGAAAUAGGUGCUAAUACCGCAUAACAACAGAAAGCGCAUGCUUUUUGUUUGAAAACCAAGGUGGUAUGGGAUGGACCCGCGUCUGAUUAGCUGGUUGGCGGGGGUAAAGGCCCACCAAGGCGACGAUCAGUAGCCGGCCUGAGAGGGUGGACGGCCACAUUGGGACUGAGACACGGCCCAAACUCCUACGGGAGGCAGCAG